UCAAAAUUCAAAUUCAUGGGGUUACUCACUGACAUAGCCCAUAUAAAUUUUGAUGGGGAGCUGUGGCUUUCCUUUGUUCUAAAUAAGCAACAUUCCCACAUGAGUGGCAUUCCAAAUUUUAGAGAAGCUUUUAUUUCCCUCCCUUGCUGUUUCUUCUCUUUGUUUGUCUUCUAAUGCAUGGAUGAACAUGUCUUCUUUUCUUUUGAGUUUUAAACUCAUUUCUUCCUUUUGUUGUGGGGAGGAAUUUAUUUGGAAGACAUUUGCCCACCUUUUUCCAAAGUGACCACGUGCAUGAUUUUGAGAAGAAAAAAAGCCAUCUUUGCAGUCACAAAUUUGAUUGGUGACAGUGCACCCUUUUUUUUUUUUUUUUUUUUUUUUGCUUCAGAUGGAUAGCGAAGAUCACAAACUUAAUAUUUACUUGU
rnacentral:lncRNA from 1 species